rnacentral:rRNA from 1 species
GGACAAACGCUGGCGGCGUGCCUAACACAUGCAAGUCGAACGGUCCCCUUCGGGGGAUAGUGGCGAACGGGUGAGUAACACGUAGGUGACCUGCCCUGUAGUGGGGAAUAACUGCCCGAAAGGGUGGCUAAUACCGCAUGAGUUCUCCUGCGCGGGCAGGAGAAGAAAGCUCCGCAAGGGGCGCUACAGGAGGGGCCUGCGGCGGAUUAGCCAGUUGGCGGGGUAAAGGCCCACCAAGGCGACGAUCCGUAGCUGGUCUGAGAGGACGGCCAGCCACACUGGGACUGAGACACGGCCCAGACUCCUACGGGAGGCAGCAGUGAGGAAUAUUCCGCAAUGGGCGCAAGCCUGACGGAGCGACGCCGCGUGGGGGAAGAAGGCCUUCGGGUUGUAAACCCCUUUUGCACGGGAUGAGAUGCCCCUUUUGGGGCUGGGACAGUACCGUGCGAAUAAGCCUCGGCUAACUACGUGCCAGCAGCCGCGGUAAUACGUAGGAGGCGAGCGUUGUCCGGAUUUACUGGGCGUAAAGAGCGCGCAGGCGGCACUGCAAGUGCUCAGUGAAAUCUCCCUGCUCAACGGGGAGGGUGCUGAGCAGACUGUAGAGCUGGAGGACGGUAGAGGGGGGUGGAAUUGCCGGUGUAGNGGUGAAAUGCGUAGAUAUCGGCAGGAACANNNGUGGCNAAGGCGGCCCCCNNNNNCGAUCCUGACGCUGAGGCGCGAAGGCCGGGGGAGCGAACGGGAUUAGAUACCCCGGUAGUCCCGGCAGUAAACGAUGGCCACCAGGUGUGGGAGGUGUUGACCCCUUCCGUGCCGAAGCCAACGCAUUAAGUGGCCCGCCUGGGGAGUACGGCCGCAAGAUUAAAACUCAAAGGAAUUGACGGGGACCCGCACAAGCGGUGGAUGAUGUGGAUUAAUUCGAUGCAACGCGAAAAACCUUACCUACCCUUGACAUGUCCAGAAUCCUGCAGAGAUGCGGGAGUGCCCGAAAGGGAAUUGGAACACAGGUGCUGCAUGGCUGUCGUCAGCUCGUGUCGUGAGAUGUUGGGUUAAGUCCCGCAACGAGCGCAACCCUUAUCAUUAGUUGCUACGCAAGGGCACUCUAAUGAGACUGCCGGUGACAAACCGGAGGAAGGUGGGGAUGACGUCAAGUCCUCAUGGCCCUUAUGGGUAGGGCUUCACACGUCAUACAAUGGUCGGCACAGAGGGUUGCCAAGCCGCGAGGUGGAGCCAAUCCCAGAAAGCCGAUCGUAGUCCGGAUUGUUCUCUGCAACUCGAGAGCAUGAAGUCGGAAUCGCUAGUAAUCGCGGAUCAGCAUGUCGCGGUGAAUACGUUCCCGGGUC